rnacentral:sRNA from 1 species
UUUCUGCUCCCUCUGCCUGGAUGCUCUCUCUGGGCAACGUGCAUGGCUCGUUCUCAUUCUUCAUUCCAGUCACUGCCUUCAGGAAGUCUUCCCUGAUUGCACUCCCACUCACUCCCCUCACCCUGCUGUAUUUUUCCCUAGAGAGGAAGAUACACACACACACCACAACCACACACACACACCACACACACUUUUCCUUAUGGAUCUGAUUGUGAUCUGUCCCCCCUUUAGAACAUCAGCUUCAUGGAGGCGGAGUUUGUGGUUUCAUCCCUGAUGUCUAGAGAUAAAAGGCUUGCCACUCAGUAGGUGCUCAGGAGUCUACCCGCUCCGCGACUUAAUAUCCCCUUCAACAAGCUGGCCAAGUGGUGUGGGGGAAGGAAUGCGCUUUGAAGUCAGGGGACCCAUCUGGCCACACGUGCGUAACCGUAUGAGCACAGAGCCAUUGCUUCCGCUGGAGCUCAGUGCUGCUAUCACCAGUGACAGCUGCCAAGGGAAAGAGUCCUCAUUUGUGUCCCCAAAGUCGAGUGUGAGGGUUACCUCUCCUGCCAGCUCUCCCUGGGAGCAGAAGUGGGACCACAAAGCUGGCCUCAGCUGUGUCUGAGCAGUGGGGCCUCACCGGCUGCUCCCACCAUACCGCCCGCUGCUGGUCUUGCCUCAACCCUGCUGUGUGGAGUUGGCUGGAGGCAGGUCUCCCUCGGCCGAUGAGGGGCCCUGCGGAGGGUGGAGCCUGGAGCCUGUUUCUCCAGGCUCAACGUGGGGGGUCCCCUCGGGGUGAUGGAGAUCACCUGGGUGUAAGGAACUGUGUGUGGUUGGCCUUACUGGGUGGUCUUCCUUCACUGUCUGCCGGACAGAUGGAGGGGCACAGCUGCCCAUGGACCCAGGCUCUGGGGCUUCUGGAAGGUGCCGAGGAGGGCAGGUGCGAUGCCUGGGGGCUUUCAGCAAAUGCCUGGCCCUGUCACCUGUGCCAACUUGGCCUGGGAGGCUCAGGCACAGCUGUUUCAAGGGUCUUUUAUUUCAUUCCUGGUUCAUUUCAAAGUGUCCAUGUCUUGUUCGGAACAGCUUGGGGGUAGAGCCCGUUGACAAAGACGCCUUCAGGCAGCCACCAAGGAGUGUGAAGGACACCAUCCUCAGCAGAGCCCUCAUCCUGAAGAUCCUCAUGUCUGCGGCCGUCAUCAUCAGCGGGACCCUCUUUAUCUUCUGGAAGGAGAUGCCUGAAGACAGAGCAAGCACUCCCCGCACCACGACGAUGACGUUCACUUGUUUUGUGUUUUUUGAUCUCUUCAACGCCUUGAGCUGCCGCUCUCAGACCAAGCUGAUAUUUGAGAUCGGCUUUCUCAGGAACCACAUGUUCCUCUACUCCGUCCUUGGGUCCAUCCUGGGGCAGCUGGCAGUCAUUUACAUCCCCCCGCUACAGAGGGUCUUCCAGACGGAGAACCUGGGAGCGCUUGAUUUGCUGUUUUUAACUGGAUUGGCCUCAUCCGUCUUCAUUUUGUCAGAGCUCCUCAAACUAUGUGAAAAAUACUGUUGCAGCACCAAGAGAGUCCAGACGCAUCCUGAAGAUGUGUAGUGACCCUCACUCUGCGGCACCCUCCCUAAUCAUCUCGAUCUGGAUGUGGCUGUGGGCCCUGCCGUGUCUACUCUUCAGGGGAGACUUUUAGGAUGCCGCAGCCUUCUGUCACCGGAUCAGUUUUUCCUCCUGGGAAAGCUGCAGGAAUCUCGUGGGCUCCAGGGACCCAGGCCCCCAUCCCUCCAGCACUCCCGCUGGCUCUGGGACAGACAGGGAGGGGCCUGUACAGAAACAUCACACUAUUUAUUAAAUCACAGUGAUUUUUAUUAACCAUGUCUACGUAUCUGUGCCACAGCUUGCAGUGAGGCAGGCCAGUCGUGGCAGAUACAAGGGGCUCCUGAGAGGCAGUGGGUAGGAUGGUCACACUCUGCCCAUUGUCCUCCUGGAGGCCCCAUUUCCUCAUCAUAAAAUGAGGGCUUUUUAAAUAAAGUGCUAUGCCGGGG